rnacentral:rRNA from 1 species
AUACGUAGGGGGCGAGCGUUGUCCGGAAUGAUUGGGUGUAAAGGGCGUGUAGGCGGUUUGGCAGGUCAGAAGUGAAAUUCCCGGGCUUAACUUGGGCGCUGCUUCUGAAACUGCUUAACUUGAGUGCUGGAGAGGAUAGUGGAAUUUCUAGUGAAGCGGUAAAAUGCACAGAUAUUAGGAGGAACACCGGUGGCGAAGGCGGCUAUCUGGACAAUAACUGACGCUGAGGCGCGAAAGCACGGGGAGCAAACAGGAUUAGAUACCCUGGUAGUCCGUGCCGUAAACGAUGAAUACUAGGUGUAGGGGGUAUCGACUCCCUCUGUGCCGCAGUUAACACAUUAAGUAUUCCACCUGGGGAGUACGGCCGCAAGGUUGAAACUCAAAGGAAUUGACGGGG